rnacentral:tRNA from 1 species
ACUCACUUAACUGGGUGGUUAGAGUAUCUCUUUCAUAUGACGAGAGUCAUUGGUUCAAAUCCAAUAGUUGGUA